CACAAAGAUCGAAGUUUGCACCGCUUUAAAUGACCGACUCCCUCUCUCACUUUCCUUCGGAUGCUCCAUAAGACGUCUAUCUACCAACUUUCCCCGGUGAUUUGUCGUGUUUCCAAAGUGGACGAAUUCCGGCAUCCAGAGCCCGAAGCGCUCUGCAGAUACCGAGCUAACUGGCUAACACGGCCUGAAUUCAGAUUUCGGCAAGUCGAGGAGGGGGGAAGGUGGAGUCGGUGAGUGGAGAGAGACGAGCCGGCGGGCCCUGCACUAACUCAUGUAGCCUCUUCGGCGACGGCGAAGCUGUCCCGGGACCUG